rnacentral:misc_RNA from 1 species
GCACAUUACGAUGAGGUCUUUAGGAUGAAAGGAAAUGCAGCCAAGGCGGACGUAGUCCAUGUCUUGUCAGGCAUGUGGAAAACCCCUGCUGAGCGUUGUUGUAUGUGGAUUGGUGGUUUCCGCCCCUCGUUACUGCUUAAGCUUCUAGUCAAUCAGUUAGAUCCUCUGAGUGAGCAACAAGUAGCUGACUUUAACAACUUGCAGCUGUCAUCCCAUCAUGCUGAAGUUGCUCUCUCACAAGGUAUGGAGGCGCUGCAGCUAUCAUUGGGGGAGACAUUAGCCAUGGGAUCUCCAUUUACUGAAUCAGGGAAUGUAGCUACUACUUAUAUGUGUCAAAUGGCAAUGGCUAUGGGGAAAUUAAUGACUCUUGAAGAUUUUCUCCGUCAGGCGGACAGCCUGCGUCAACUAGUAUUGCAACAAAUAUAUCGCAUACUGACAACCAGACAAUAUGCCCGUGCUCUUCUUGCAAUAAAUGAUUACUUCUCAAUUUUUCGGGUUCUCAGCUCUAUUUGGCUAGCCAGACCACGAGAGCAAUAAGCACAAAAACCAUUGCAGUAUUCUGCUGAAAUUCGGACACUACUUUGAUACACUGGCCAGUAUAUGAGAUGCAGCUAAGUUGCUAUAUUUUGAAGUGGUGGUACUGUAUGUGCCUUGUGGAAGUACAAAAUUUGUUUUUCAAAGUAUAGAGAAAUUUAGCAGGGGUGUUUGUCAUUUAGAUAGUUUUCCCAAAGUGGUGUAUAUUGUGCUUUUGUUCCACUUCUU